AUUUAAAUAGCUUAUAAAUAGAGUAUUACACUGAAGAUGUAAGGGAGAUAAAAUUAUCUUUAAAUA
rnacentral:tRNA from 1 species